CGCCUCACUUCCCUGCCCCAGAAGAAAAAAAAACCUUGCCCCGAUCCAAACCCCUCCUUCCCCGCGGCGCCCUCCCAUCUCACCCGCAACCGCCGCCAUCCCCAUCUCCGUCCAUCCCGACCGACGGCGGGCAUCCUCCCCCAUCAGCCCUUAUCGCACCGCCCUCCCAUCUUCCCCGCAACCGCCGCCGCCUGUAUGGCUGUACCGCUCGUACCAGGAGCCUCGUCGCCGGCAUCCUCGCCGGUCUUCUCCUCGUGCCGCCCUACUUCCCACCUUCCCGGAUCCAGGAGCUCGUCGCCGGCAUCCUCACCCUCCCCUCCGUCCACCUCCUCCUCCUCCCCGAUCUCCCCCAGGUCCGCCUCCCCUAGAUUUGCUGCCCCCUCCCUGCAUCCCUCCGGUCACGGCAGGAUCUGUAGACGAGGUCGCCACCCUGCUGUCUAGGAGAGCGCCGCCGAUCCGAUCAGAGCUCGAGCACUGGUUCUCUCUAUUUUUGCCAUUGUCUCCAUGUGUUUUUGCCACUGUUUUGGUCAUUUUUCUACUUCGUAUGUAAAAAUGAGAUGAUGAAGGAUUCCAGUGUUUAUUGUUUGCUUCCUAAAAAUUAUAUGGUGAAUUUUGCUCAUGCUAUCUAUCUGCAAACAAUGUGCAUUUUUGUUUCCUUAAAGUGUACACAGUGUUUAUAUAUGAUUUUGUUGAUCAUAUUACCAAUCUGAUAUUUGGCUCUGUUAUAGACCCAUCAUAUGUAAGUUAACAAAGCAUUUGGUCAAGUAAGUUGACUUCUCAUAUGUGAUCUCAUCUUCGGACUGUACAGCCUGAAAUUCUAAUACAACGGCAUCCAUGCAGCGAAGAUGGAUAUGUGAAAUCAGUGGCCGAGUUAAUUGAGAAGGAGAUAUCAAUUUUUACAAAUUCUGAAGAGAUAGCGCUCAUCCAACUCAAGUGAGAAGGAUUGUCUAUACUAUAUGCCUAGAGAUAACACUGUAUUUCCUCCAAGACUAUGAUGGUUUGUUCCAGCUGUAGGGUUGAAGUAUUCUUGAUCACUGACGUGGUCUGCUGAAGUAUUAUAGAGAAAAAGGAGACCUCUAAUAUGAUUUGUUGAGCCAUGAGUUUUAUUGAACGCGACUAAUAGAAGAAUUGGAGCAAUGCAUGUAGUGCUGGCGGAAGGAGAUGGGACUGAGUCAAUAUAAAAGGAAGAAAGGAAGAUGUUAUGAAGUAGAAUGACAAUGAAGUGAAUCGAUGUUGGAGAAAGAGAGGGAAUAGAGUGCUAUUGUGAACCAAACUGUAAGGAUGUCGCGAGUCUUCUGGUGUAUAUUUUAGAUGGAGCAUUCACUCAAGUUCAGAAAUUCAGGUUUGUGUAAACAAUCUUGCACUUAUGCUUCUCCAAAGAGAAAAUCAAGCAAACCAAUAUCAAAUGAGAGAUAAAUUUGUCAAUCUCUUGAUACAUUUAUAUGGCUCGUCGCUUUACAGUUUUCAUUUUGUACAAAUUAUACAGCUAAAGAAACCUGCAGAUGAUCUUGUCUUUCUUUCUCUCUGAAGCCUAAAGAUGAUCUUGUCUGUACAGUUUUCUUUCUCUCUGAAUGUGUUUUUUUCAAUAUGAACUCGCCAAUCAGUUAUUCUUAUUGUACUGUUUUAUUGCAGAUGAUUAUGAUGUAAAAAAAGUGCCGUUGUUCUUGCAGGUUACAUGCCUUAAUGAGCUUAUUGUAAUUACCAAUUAGUAUUUAACCUUUUAGUUUAUUGGAUGAAAAUCUAAAAAAUUAAACAGAGAAUCACUAAUCUGCCUUUCAGAAUCUUAAAUAAACAGUUCUAGGAGCUAGGAAGAAAUCUUCAGUCAGUUGUUAUCUUUUCUUCUAGGUCUAGAUUUGAACUAUACAUCCAAUUCAUCUUUUGUUCUUUUCUUGGAUGCUGGCGUGCAAAUCUCAUUGUAAUAAUACAUAAACCCCCGGCCCUCCUGAUUAAUCAUGUUAAUUAGUGUGUUGCUAAUAAUUUCUGCUGUAUUCAGACAUCCCUCAGGUCCAAUCACCUUUUGCAAAACAAAUUGGUUCAGCUCAAAAUCAGCAUAGAAGAUGCAAACCGAUCUGACUGCUGUCACUUCUGUAGUUGAUUGCUUAAAAAGACUAUACGUGGAGAAACUGAAGCCUUUAGAGGUUGCAUACCCGUUUACCAAUUUUGCUUCCCCAUCACUGACAAACAGCAACUUCGGUGCAAAACCAAUGGUUAUGCUCUUUGGUCAAUAUUAUACAGGGAAACAACUUUGAUUAAGCACCUGUU